AGCGUACACGGUGGAUGCCCUGGCAGUCAGAGGCGAUGAAGGACGUGCUAAUCUGCGAUAAGCGUCGGUAAGGUGAUAUGAACCGUUAUAACCGGCGAUUUCCGAAUGGGGAAACCCAGUGUGUUUCGACACACUAUCAUUAACUGAAUCCAUAGGUUAAUGAGGCGAACCGGGGGAACUGAAACAUCUAAGUACCCCGAGGAAAAGAAAUCAACCGAGAUUCCCCCAGUAGCGGCGAGCGAACGGGGAGGAGCCCAGAGCCUGAAUCAGUGUGUGUGUUAGUGGAAGCGUCUGGAAAGGCGCGCGAUACAGGGUGACAGCCCCGUACACAAAAAUGCACAUGCUGUGAGCUCGAUGAGUAGGGCGGGACACGUGGUAUCCUGUCUGAAUAUGGGGGGACCAUCCUCCAAGGCUAAAUACUCCUGACUGACCGAUAGUGAACCAGUACCGUGAGGGAAAGGCGAAAAGAACCCCGGCGAGGGGAGUGAAAAAGAACCUGAAACCGUGUACGUACAAGCAGUGGGAGCCUCUUUAUGGGGUGACUGCGUACCUUUUGUAUAAUGGGUCAGCGACUUAUAUUCUGUAGCAAGGUUAACCGAAUAGGGGAGCCGAAGGGAAACCGAGUCUUAACUGGGCGUUAAGUUGCAGGGUAUAGACCCGAAACCCGGUGAUCUAGCCAUGGGCAGGUUGAAGGUUGGGUAACACUAACUGGAGGACCGAACCGACUAAUGUUGAAAAAUUAGCGGAUGACUUGUGGCUGGGGGUGAAAGGCCAAUCAAACCGGGAGAUAGCUGGUUCUCCCCGAAAGCUAUUUAGGUAGCGCCUCGUGAACUCAUCUCCGGGGGUAGAGCACUGUUUCGGCAAGGGGGUCAUCCCGACUUACCAACCCGAUGCAAACUGCGAAUACCGGAGAAUGUUAUCACGGGAGACACACGGCGGGUGCUAACGUCCGUCGUGAAGAGGGAAACAACCCAGACCGCCAGCUAAGGUCCCAAAGUCAUGGUUAAGUGGGAAACGAUGUGGGAAGGCCCAGACAGCCAGGAUGUUGGCUUAGAAGCAGCCAUCAUUUAAAGAAAGCGUAAUAGCUCACUGGUCGAGUCGGCCUGCGCGGAAGAUGUAACGGGGCUAAACCAUGCACCGAAGCUGCGGCAGCGACGCUUAUGCGUUGUUGGGUAGGGGAGCGUUCUGUAAGCCUGUGAAGGUGUGCUGUGAGGCAUGCUGGAGGUAUCAGAAGUGCGAAUGCUGACAUAAGUAACGAUAAAGCGGGUGAAAAGCCCGCUCGCCGGAAGACCAAGGGUUCCUGUCCAACGUUAAUCGGGGCAGGGUGAGUCGACCCCUAAGGCGAGGCCGAAAGGCGUAGUCGAUGGGAAACAGGUUAAUAUUCCUGUACUUGGUGUUACUGCGAAGGGGGGACGGAGAAGGCUAUGUUGGCCGGGCGACGGUUGUCCCGGUUUAAGCGUGUAGGCUGGUUUUCCAGGCAAAUCCGGAAAAUCAAGGCUGAGGCGUGAUGACGAGGCACUACGGUGCUGAAGCAACAAAUGCCCUGCUUCCAGGAAAAGCCUCUAAGCAUCAGGUAACAUCAAAUCGUACCCCAAACCGACACAGGUGGUCAGGUAGAGAAUACCAAGGCGCUUGAGAGAACUCGGGUGAAGGAACUAGGCAAAAUGGUGCCGUAACUUCGGGAGAAGGCACGCUGAUAUGUAGGUGAAGUCCCUCGCGGAUGGAGCUGAAAUCAGUCGAAGAUACCAGCUGGCUGCAACUGUUUAUUAAAAACACAGCACUGUGCAAACACGAAAGUGGACGUAUACGGUGUGACGCCUGCCCGGUGCCGGAAGGUUAAUUGAUGGGGUCAGCGCAAGCGAAGCUCUUGAUCGAAGCCCCGGUAAACGGCGGCCGUAACUAUAACGGUCCUAAGGUAGCGAAAUUCCUUGUCGGGUAAGUUCCGACCUGCACGAAUGGCGUAAUGAUGGCCAGGCUGUCUCCACCCGAGACUCAGUGAAAUUGAACUCGCUGUGAAGAUGCAGUGUACCCGCGGCAAGACGGAAAGACCCCGUGAACCUUUACUAUAGCUUGACACUGAACAUUGAGCCUUGAUGUGUAGGAUAGGUGGGAGGCUUUGAAGUGUGGACGCCAGUCUGCAUGGAGCCGACCUUGAAAUACCACCCUUUAAUGUUUGAUGUUCUAACGUUGACCCGUAAUCCGGGUUGCGGACAGUGUCUGGUGGGUAGUUUGACUGGGGCGGUCUCCUCCUAAAGAGUAACGGAGGAGCACGAAGGUUGGCUAAUCCUGGUCGGACAUCAGGAGGUUAGUGCAAUGGCAUAAGCCAGCUUGACUGCGAGCGUGACGGCGCGAGCAGGUGCGAAAGCAGGUCAUAGUGAUCCGGUGGUUCUGAAUGGAAGGGCCAUCGCUCAACGGAUAAAAGGUACUCCGGGGAUAACAGGCUGAUACCGCCCAAGAGUUCAUAUCGACGGCGGUGUUUGGCACCUCGAUGUCGGCUCAUCACAUCCUGGGGCUGAAGUAGGUCCCAAGGGUAUGGCUGUUCGCCAUUUAAAGUGGUACGCGAGCUGGGUUUAGAACGUCGUGAGACAGUUCGGUCCCUAUCUGCCGUGGGCGCUGGAGAACUGAGGGGGGCUGCUCCUAGUACGAGAGGACCGGAGUGGACGCAUCACUGGUGUUCGGGUUGUCAUGCCAAUGGCACUGCCCGGUAGCUAAAUGCGGAAGAGAUAAGUGCUGAAAGCAUCUAAGCACGAAACUUGCCCCGAGAUGAGUUCU
rnacentral:rRNA from 1 species